rnacentral:rRNA from 1 species
UGAUUUGUAGCAAUACAGAUUGAUGGCGACCGGCGCACGGGUGAGUAACGCGUAUGCAACUUACCUAUCAGAGGGGGAUAGCCCGGCGAAAGUCGGAUUAAUACCCCAUGAAACAGGGGUCCCGCAUGGGAAUAUUUGUUAAAGAUUCAUCGCUGAUAGAUAGGCAUGCGUUCCAUUAGGCAGUUGGCGGGGUAACGGCCCACCAAACCGACGAUGGAUAGGGGUUCUGAGAGGAAGGUCCCCCACAUUGGUACUGAGACACGGACCAAACUCCUACGGGAGGCAGCAGUGAGGAAUAUUGGUCAAUGGCCGAGAGGCUGAACCAGCCAAGUCGCGUGAAGGAAGAAGGAUCUAUGGUUUGUAAACUUCUUUUAUAGGGGAAUAAAGUGGAGGACGUGUCCUUUUUUGUAUGUACCCUAUGAAUAAGCAUCGGCUAACUCCGUGCCAGCAGCCGCGGUAAUACGGAGGAUGCGAGCGUUAUCCGGAUUUAUUGGGUUUAAAGGGUGCGUAGGUGGUGAUUUAAGUCAGCGGUGAAAGUUUGUGGCUCAACCAUAAAAUUGCCGUUGAAACUGGGUUACUUGAGUGUGUUUGAGGUAGGCGGAAUGCGUGGUGUAGCGGUGAAAUGCAUAGAUAUCACGCAGAACUCCGAUUGCGAAGGCAGCUUACUAAACCAUAACUGACACUGAAGCACGAAAGCGUGGGGAUCAAACAGGAUUAGAUACCCUGGUAGUCCACGCAGUAAACGAUGAUUACUAGGAGUUUGCGAUACAAUGUAAGCUCUACAGCGAAAGCGUUAAGUAAUCCACCUGGGGAGUACGCCGGCAACGGUGAAACUCAAAGGAAUUGACGGGGGCCCGCACAAGCGGAGGAACAUGUGGUUUAAUUCGAUGAUACGCGAGGAACCUUACCCGGGUUUGAACGUAGUCUGACCGGAGUGGAAACACUCCUUCUAGCAAUAGCAGAUUACGAGGUGCUGCAUGGUUGUCGUCAGCUCGUGCCGUGAGGUGUCGGCUUAAGUGCCAUAACGAGCGCAACCCUUAUCACUAGUUACUAACAGGUGAAGCUGAGGACUCUGGUGAGACUGCCAGCGUAAGCUGUGAGGAAGGUGGGGAUGACGUCAAAUCAGCACGGCCCUUAC